CCACUGAAAAUAUUUUGAAGGGCCGCAGUAUUUUGACUGUGCAAAGGUAGCAUAAUCAUUAGUCUUUUAAUUGAAGGCUGGUAUGAAUGGUUGGAUGAGGUAAAUUCUGUUUUAUGUUAAUUGAUGUUGAAUUUAGAUUUUAAGUAAAAAUACUUAAAUGUUAUUAAGGGACGAGAAGACCCUAUAGAGUUUAAUAAAUGUAAUAAUUAAUUGAGUUAAAGUUUAAUUUUUGGUUUUUAUGUAAUUUAUUUAAUUGGGGUGAUUGGAAGAUAAAAUAAACUCUUCUUUAUAUUUAAUAAAUUAAUUAGUUAUAUGAUCCAUAUUUAAUGAUUAAAAGAUUAAAUUACCUUAGGGAUAACAGCAUAAUUCUUUUUAAGAGUUCAUAUCGAAAAAAGAGAUUGUGACCUCGAUGUUGGAUUAAGAUUAGUUAUGGGUGCAGAUGUUCAAUAACUAGGUCUGUUCGACCUUGAAAAUCUUACAUGAUCUGAGUUCAAACCGGAGA
rnacentral:rRNA from 1 species